AGUGGCGGACGGGUGAGUAACGCGUGAGAAUCUGCCUUCAGGACGGGGACAACAGAGGGAAACUUCUGCUAAGACCCGAUGUGCCGCCAGGUGAAAUAUUUCUAGCCUGGAGAUGAGCUCGCGUCUGAUUAGCUAGUUGGUAGAGUAAAAGCCUACCAAGGCGACGAUCAGUAGCUGGUCUGAGAGGAUGAGCAGCCACACUGGGACUGAGACACGGCCCAGACUCCUACGGGAGGCAGCAGUGGGGAAUUUUCCGCAAUGGGCGAAAGCCUGACGGAGCAAGACCGCGUGAGGGAGGAAGGCCUUUGGGUUGUAAACCUCUUUUAUUAAGGAAGAAAAAAUGACGGUACUUAAUGAAUCAGCAUCGGCUAACUCCGUGCCAGCAGCCGCGGUAAUACGGAGGAUGCAAGCGUUAUCCGGAAUUAUUGGGCGUAAAGAGUCCGUAGGUGGUAAAUCAAGUCGGCCGUCAAAGCAUGGAGCUUAACUCCAUUAAGGCAGUGGAAACUGGUUAACUAGAGUCUAGGAGGGGUAGAGGGAAUUCCCAGUGUAGCGGUGAAAUGCGUAGAGAUUGGGAAGAACACCAGUGGCGAAAGCGCUCUACUGGACUAGAACUGACGCUGAGGGACGAAAGCUAAGGGAGCGAAAGGGAUUAGAUACCCCUGUAGUCUUAGCCGUAAACGAUGGAUACUAG
rnacentral:rRNA from 1 species